AUUGAACGCUGGCGGCAGGCCUAACACAUUCAAGUCGAGCGAGCGGCGGACGGGUGAGUAAUGUAUGGGGACUGCCCGAUCGAGGGGGAUAACUACUGGAAACGGUAGCUAAUACCGCAUACUAUCGGAUAACCCAUAUGGGAUUAGCUAGUAGGUGAGGUAAUGGCGCCCCUAGGCGACGAUCCCUAGCUGGUCUGAGAGGAUGAUCAGCCACACUGGGACUGAGACACGGCCCAGACUCCUACGGAGGAAGCAGAGGGGAAUAUUGGACAAUGGGCGCAAGCCUGAUGCAGCCAUGCCGCGUGGAGGAAGAAGGCCCUAGGGUUUGAAAGUACUUUCAGUCGGGAGGCGUUACCGACAGAAGAAGCACCGGCUAACUCCGUGCCAGCAGCCGCGGUAAUUC
rnacentral:rRNA from 1 species